rnacentral:rRNA from 1 species
GGAGUUAGCCGGUGCUUCUUCUGCGAGUAACGUCACAGAUGUAAGGUAUUAACUUACACCCUUUCCUCCUCGCUGAAAGUGCUUUACAACCCGAAGGCCUUCUUCACACACGCGGCAUGGCUGCAUCAGGGUUUCCCCCAUUGUGCAAUAUUCCCCACUGCUGCCUCCCGUAGGAGUCUGGGCCGUGUCUCAGUCCCAGUGUGGCUGAUCAUCCUCUCAGACCAGCUAGGGAUCGUCGCCUAGGUGAGCCUUUACCUCACCUACUAGCUAAUCCCACCUGGGCUUAUCCAUCAGCGCAAGGCCCGAAGGUCCCCUGCUUUCCCCCGUAGGGCGUAUGCGGUAUUAGCAGUCGUUUCCAACUGUUAUCCCCCACAAAUGGGCAAAUUCCCAGGCAUUACUCACCCGUCCGCCGCUCGUCAUCUUCAAAAGCAAGCUUUUGAAAUGUUACCGCUCGACUUGCAUGUGUUAGGCCUGCCGCCACGCGUUCAUACUGAGCCAUGAUACAACUACUGA